UACGUAGGGUCCGAGCGUUGUCCGGAAUUACUGGGCGUAAAGAGCUCGUAGGCGGUUCGUCGCGUCGGCUGUGAAAUCCCGAGGCUCAACCUCGGGUCUGCAGUCGAUACGGGCGGACUGGAGUUCGGCAGGGGAGACGUGGAAUUCCUGGUGUAGCGGUGAAAUGCGCAGAUAUCAGGAGGAACACCGGUGGCGAAGGCGGGUCUCUGGGCCGUAACUGACGCUGAGGAGCGAAAGCGUGGGGAGCGAACAGG
rnacentral:rRNA from 1 species